UACGUAGGGGGCUAGCGUUGUCCGGAAUCAUUGGGCGUAAAGAGCGCGUAGGCGGCUAGAUAAGUCCGGUGUGAAAGUCACAGGCUCAACCUGUGAAUGCCGCUGGAAACUGUCUGGCUAGAGUCCGGAAGAGGAGAGUGGAAUUCCUGGUGUAGCGGUGAAAUGCGCAGAUAUCAGGAAGAACACCCGUGGCGAAGGCGGCUCUCUGGGACGGUACUGACGCUGAGACGCGAAAGCGUGGGGAGCGAACAGG
rnacentral:rRNA from 1 species